rnacentral:rRNA from 1 species
UACGGGGGGGGCAAGCGUUGUUCGGAAUUACUGGGCGUAAAGGGCUCGUAGGCGGCCAACUAAGUCAGACGUGAAAUCCCUCGGCUUAACCGGGGAACUGCGUCUGAUACUGGAUGGCUUGAGGUUGGGAGAGGGAUGCGGAAUUCCAGGUGUAGCGGUGAAAUGCGUAGAUAUCUGGAGGAACACCGGUGGCGAAGGCGGCAUCCUGGACCAAUUCUGACGCUGAGGAGCGAAAGCCAGGGGAGGCAAAACGGGG